UACGGGAGGCAGCAGUGGGGGAUAUUGCACAAUGGGGGAAACCCUGAUGCAGCGACGCCGCGUGAGUGAUGAAGUAUUUCGGUAUGUAAAGCUCUAUCAGCAGGGAAGAAAAUGACGGUACCUGACUAAGAAGCCCCGGCUAACUACGUGCCAGCAGCCGCGGUAAU
rnacentral:rRNA from 1 species